CCUACGGGUGGCAGCAGUGAGGAAUAUUGGUCAAUGGACGAGAGUCUGAACCAGCCAAGUAGCGUGAAGGAUGACUGCCCUAUGGGUUGUAAACUUCUUUUAUAUGGGAAUAAACUGUUCCACGUGUGGGAUUUUGUAUGUACCAUAUGAAUAAGGACCGGCUAACUCCGUGCCAGCAGCCGCGGUAAUACGGAGGAUCCGAGCGUUAUCCGGAUUUAUUGGGUUUAAAGGGAGCGUAGGUGGAUUGUUAAGUCAGUUGUGAAAGUUUGCGGCUCAACCGUAAAAUUGCAGUUGAAACUGGCAGUCUUGAGUACAGUAGAGGUGGGCGGAAUUCGUGGUGUAGCGGUGAAAUGCUUAGAUAUCACGAAGAACUCCGAUUGCGAAGGCAGUUCACUGGACUGCAACUGACACUGAGGCUCGAAAGUGUGGGUAUCAAACAGGAUUAGAUACCCCUGUAGUC
rnacentral:rRNA from 1 species